UACAGAGGUCCCGAGCGUUGUUCGGAUUCACUGGGCGUAAAGGGUGCGUAGGCGGGUCUUUAAGUCAGGGGUGAAAUCCUGGAGCUCAACUCCAGAACUGCCUUUGAUACUGAGGAUCUUGAGUUCGGGGGAGGUGAGUGGAACUGCGAGUGUAGAGGUGAAAUUCGUAGAUAUUCGCAAGAACACCAGUGGCGAAGGCGGCUCACUGGCCCGAUACUGACGCUGAGGCACGAAAGCGUGGGGAGCAAACAGG
rnacentral:rRNA from 1 species